AGCGAACGCUGGCGGAAGGAUUAACACAUGCAAGUCGAACGAACCUUUCGGGGUUAGUGGCGGACGGGUGAGUAACACGUGGGAACGUGCCUUUAGGUUCGGAAUAACUCAGGGAAACUUGUGCUAAUACCGAAUGUGCCCUUCGGGGGAAAGAUUUAUCGCCUUUAGAGCGGCCCGCGUCUGAUUAGCUAGUUGGUUGAGGUAAUGGCUCACCAAGGCGACGAUCAGUAGCUGGUCUGAGAGGAUGAUCAGCCACAUUGGGACUGAGACACGGCCCAAACUCCUACGGGAGGCAGCAGUGGGGAAUCUUGCGCAAUGGGCGAAAGCCUGACGCAGCCAUGCCGCGUGAAUGAUGAAGGUCUUAGGAUUGUAAAAUUCUUUCACCGGGGACGAUAAUGACGGUACCCGGAGAAGAAGCCCCGGCUAACUUCGUG
rnacentral:rRNA from 1 species